rnacentral:rRNA from 1 species
UUAGCGAACGGGUGAGUAACACGUGGGUAACCUGCCCAUCAUAAGGGGAUAACACUUGGAAACAGGUGCUAAUACCGUAUAACAAUCGAAACCGCAUGGUUUUGAUUUGAAAGGCGCUUUCGGGUGUCGCUGAUGGAUGGACCCGCGGUGCAUUAGCUAGUUGGUGAGGUAACGGCUCACCAAGGCCACGAUGCAUAGCCGACCUGAGAGGGUGAUCGGCCACAUUGGGACUGAGACACGGCCCAAACUCCUACGGGAGGCAGCAGUAGGGAAUCUUCGGCAAUGGACGAAAGUCUGACCGAGCAACGCCGCGUGAGUGAAGAAGGUUUUCGGAUCGUAAAACUCUGUUGUUAGAGAAGAACAAGGAUGAGAGUAACUGUUCAUCCCUUGACGGUAUCUAACCAGAAAGCCACGGCUAACUACGUGCCAGCAGCCGCGGUAAUACGUAGGUGGCAAGCGUUGUCCGGAUUUAUUGGGCGUAAAGCGAGCGCAGGCGGUUUCUUAAGUCUGAUGUGAAAGCCCCCGGCUCAACCGGGGAGGGUCAUUGGAAACUGGGAGACUUGAGUGCAGAAGAGGAGAGUGGAAUUCCAUGUGUAGCGGUGAAAUGCGUAGAUAUAUGGAGGAACACCAGUGGCGAAGGCGGCUCUCUGGUCUGUAACUGACGCUGAGGCUCGAAAGCGUGGGGAGCAAACAGGAUUAGAUACCCUGGUAGUCCACGCCGUAAACGAUGAGUGCUAAGUGUUGGAGGGUUUCCGCCCUUCAGUGCUGCAGCUAACGCAUUAAGCACUCCGCCUGGGGAGUACGACCGCAAGGUUGAAACUCAAAGGAAUUGACGGGGGCCCGCACAAGCGGUGGAGCAUGUGGUUUAAUUCGAAGCAACGCGAAGAACCUUACCAGGUCUUGACAUCCUUUGACCACUCUAGAGAUAGAGCUUCCCCUUCGGGGGCAAAGUGACAGGUGGUGCAUGGUUGUCGUCAGCUCGUGUCGUGAGAUGUUGGGUUAAGUCCCGCAACGAGCGCAACCCUUAUUGUUAGUUGCCAUCAUUCAGUUGGGCACUCUAGCAAGACUGCCGGUGACAAACCGGAGGAAGG